UUAAUGAUAAUUAACCUAACUUUUACCCAUUAACCACACUAAUUGCCAUUAACAUUAGAUUAAAAUCAAAGUUAAAACAAAAGGGGAUUAGGGCUAAUACAUGUGAUGCAACGCUUGAACUCCGAAGCUCUCCUCUCUCUUACGGCCGCGGCGACGCUCCUUCUUCUCCGAUCAGCUCUUCGGCCGCCGUGAAUCUAGAAGGCAAAACACCAACAUCUCGUCUCUCGGACUCCAUCGUCUCUCGUCUCAGUCUCUCUCAAAUCUCUUUCGUCUCCGAUGAAAUCCUCCCGGAGAGACUCUCUCUUAUGACGGCGCGGUGGCAAGAUUGCUGUUGCGAUGAAGAUGAAGAGUGCCUCUGUUGCACCUCAAAUCUUGAACGAUGAUGACGUUGCGUUGGGGAAGUCACAGAGUAAGGCGAUCUGAGGAUGUUGUUGAUCGAAGCAGCUCUGAGUCGGGGAUGAUGGAGCGAAGAUGGCGAUUGUUGAAGUUGCUAUAUCCUGGCAUCGUAUCAAUCUCUUGCUCCUUCGAUUACACUCCUCAUCACUUCCGUUAUCUUUUUUUCCUUCCGUUGAAUUUUUGUCACGUUCCUUGUUUUUGAUUUCUGAACGAUUUGUUGUUGUUGUUGUUUGAUACAGAUGAAGAUGUGAUAUCGUUGCAUUUGAAUAACAAAUCCUGAUGAUGAUACUGAAGGUGAUAGUUGCUGGAGUCUUGUUGAUGACGAUGAUGAUUGAUGAAGGUGAAGCAAAGACGAAGAUUUGAUUCUGUUUUCUUGGAGCCUUUCUGAGAAUUGGAGAACGAUGAUAGAUAAAGCUGUUGAUGAUAAAAAGGUGAUUGGAGAUGGUGGAGAUUGUUGUUCUCUGCAGAUUUGUCUAAUGGAGAUUAUUGAUGAUGAAGAGUUUGAAUAUUGGAGAGUGGAGAAGAAUGAUGAAGAUGAAAGGUGACUGAAGAUUCUGGAAGCAAAGUUGCGGUGGGAUUAUGGUGAGGAAGUGAAAUGAUGAAGGAGAGUCAAGAGAGUAGGAUGCUGAUGAUAUAUAGGGGUGAAAGGUUCUUUGAAUGUAUGCACAUGACUUCAAGGUGAUGAUAUGAGAUGAUGAUAUUGUUUUGAUGAGUGAUUUAUGACAUGGACUGAAUGUAUGUGGACUGAAGACUCAUGUGAAUGAUUGGCUUUAAAACUAGCAGCAUAAUUGGUUCUGUUUUGAAUUAAUAGUGCUGUAUGGAUGUAGAUAUAUGGGGCUGUUUUAUACAUUGCAGAAUUUCCCUCUUCUCUUCUUUGUGGCUGAAUGUGUGCAGGUUAUGGCUAUGUUAUCAAAUGAGGUAAUGCUGGCUGGCAUGUUAGUAAUGUGUAAUUUCAAUGCAGCAGGUUGCAAUGUUAAUAAAUGGUGAAGUUAUGUUUUGAUUUAGUUUGGUUUUUUCUGAAUGAAUUGGUUUAUGUGUGCAGGGCCGUUUGGCUUGAAUUGAGGCAUGGAUCAAAUGAAGGCGGUAUGGAGCACGGUCAUGAGCUAAAAAUGCUUUGAAGAUUAGCUUAGGAAUAGAAUUCUAGGAAUGAGAUUCCAUGUAUUUUCUGUGUAAAAUAACGGACUUUGUAAUGGGUAUUUGGUUCCUUUGAAAUCGGUGAUGAUUUGAGUUAUGGAAAGUUGAAUGUGAUUUGAUGAAUGGUGAAACUUUAAAUGAAUUUUGUAAUGGUUUUUUGUAAUUGAUUGGAUUUAUUUUGUUCU